rnacentral:misc_RNA from 1 species
CCUUCAACGAUAUUGAUACAACUCCUACUAUAGAAGAAUAUCAGGCGCUGCUAGAAAUCCCUUAUGUGGCGCAGAAUCGGAUUUAUCUACACCUCGAGCAUGGGCAGACCUGAAAACGGUUCGCGCAUAUACUUAGAAUCUCUGCAGAGGAAGCAAAGGCAAAGGAAAUCGUCAAGGGAAGCACACAUGGGUGGUAUUGGACUUACAUCAAAAAGCAUUUGGAUCUGCAUAUUCAGGGCAAGCAAUGAGAACAGGCUUCGUUGGCACAAGCUUUGGGAAUUUACGGCCUGAUCUUGUUUCCCUGGCCUUUGGGAGUUAUAACUUACAGCGUCACGGAGUUGUUUUGGGCGGUAGAAAAGCAAAAUGUCAACCCAAUAUUGCCUACGACAGGGUAAGGGAACCAUCAAGUGUUGUUCCUAAUUGCUACAUCUUUGGAUCCUCAGUCAUAUCUGUCCUCUCGAAACUAAGGGAUUAACCUGGCAUCCCGAUCAGCCUCUCAUCGAAAAGGUGGCUAAAGAAUACCCUUCACCUCUCCAAGAUUUGUGGAUACCGGAGUCAGCUCGCCUGUCAACCCAACUUUCCACAGGUAAGCGUCUAAACUGUCAUUUUG